UGCCAGCAGCCGCGGUAAUACGAACCGUACGAACGUUAUUCGGAAUCACUGGGCUUAAAGAGUGCGUAGGCGGCUUAGCAAGUUGGGUGUGAAAUCCCUCGGCUCAACCGAGGAACUGCGCCCAAAACUGCUAGGCUUGAGGGAGGCAGAGGUGAGCGGAACUAAUGGUGGAGCGGUGAAAUGCGUUGAUAUCAUUAGGAACACCGGUGGCGAAGGCGGCUCACUGGGUCUCUUCUGACGCUGAGGCACGAAAGCUAGGGGAGCGAACGGGAUUAGAUA
rnacentral:rRNA from 1 species